UUAGGAAUCUUGCGCAAUGGGGGCAACCCUGACGCAGCGACGCCGCGUGGAGGAUGAAUGUUUUCGGAUUGUAAACUCCUUUUCUAUGGGAACAAGUUCUGAGGGUACCAUAGGAAUAAGCACCUGCUAACUACGUGCCAGAAGCAUCGGUGAUACGUAGGGUGCAAGCGUUAUCCGGAAUUAUUGGGCGUAAAGAGACGCGUAGGCGUUUAGGUAAGUCUUUUGUCAAAGACUACGGCUCAACCGUAGAAGGGCAAAGGAAACUACUUAGAUAGAGAUAGUGAGAGGUAGACGGAAUUCCUGGUGGAGCAGUAAAAUGCGUUGAUAUCAGGAGGAACACCGAGGGCGAAGGCAGUCUACUGGCGCUAUUCUGACGCUAAGGCUCGAAAGCGUGGGGAGC
rnacentral:rRNA from 1 species